rnacentral:rRNA from 1 species
GACGAACGCUGGCGGCGUGCCUAACACAUGCGAGUCGAACGAAGAGUGAUGGACGCUUGCUUCUCUCAAUCUUAGUGGCGAACGGGUGAGUCAUGCGUAAUCAAUAUGUCCUUCAGAGGGGGACAAAAGUUGGAAAAGACUGCUAAUACCGCAUACGAUCUAAUCUCGGCAUCGAGGAUAGAUGUAAGGUGGCUGAUACAUGUAAGCUCUCACUGAAGGAGGGGACUGCGUCUGAUUAGCUAGUUGGUGGGGUAACGGCCCACCAAGGCGAUGAUCAGUAGCCGGUCUCAGAGGAUGAGCGGCCACGUUGGGACGGAGACACGGCCCAGACUCCUACGGGAGGCAGCAGUGGGGGAUCUUCCGCAAUGGACGAAAGUCUGACGGAGCAACGCCGCGUGAGCGAGGACGGCCGUCGGGUUGUGAAGCUCUGUUAAUCGUGACGAAAGGCCUUCUUGCGAAUAGUGAGAAGUAUUGACGGUACCGGAAUAGAAAGCCACGGCUAACUACGUG